rnacentral:misc_RNA from 1 species
UUUCCGUAGGUGAACCUGCGGAAGGAUCAUUAAAAAUGAGACCUGAUCAAGGUCUAUCAAUAAUCCUACCCUUUGUGAAUUUGUUUGUUUAAUAUGUGUCUUUCCCUGUUUGGUUUGAGCUUUGUUUAAAAGUUUCGAACCUUCAGGGAAUGGCAAACUUUUUUUAAAUUAAACUUUUGUAUUCAUUUGUCUAAAAUUAUUUUAUAAUAUAAAAACAACUUUUGACAAUGGAUCUCUUGGUUCUCGCAACGAUGAGAACGCAGCAAAAUGCGAUAAGUAGUGUGAAUUGCAGAAUACGUGAAUCAUCGAAUCUUCGAACGCAUAUUGCACUUUUUGGUUUACCAAAAAGUAUGUCUGUUUGAGUAUCAGUAAAAUAUUCUCAUAAAAACUAUUGUUUUAUGGUUAUGAGUGUUUUACAACGAUAAACAAGUUGUUUCACUUUAAAUUCUUUGUCUUUAAAAAUCAUUAAAAACUGAUUUUUUUUAAAAUUGGAUAAAAUUUCCCGUAAAAGGAAUAACUAAACAAUUUUAAUUUAAAAUUGGUUUGAUUUCUUUUAAGACUUUAAAGGAAAAAAGUAAAAAAUUAACUUGAUCUCAAAUCAGAUAAGAGUACCCGCUGAACUUAAGCAUAUCAAUAAGCGGAGGAAAGAAACUAACUAGGAUUCCUCAGUAACGGCGAGUGAAGCGGAAGAGCUCAAAUUUGAAAUCUUCAAGGUUUUACCUUGACGAAUUGUAGUUUAAAGAAGUGUUUUCUGUUGGAAUUUUGGUAAAAGUUCUUUGGAAAAAGACAUCAAAGAGGUGAGAAUCCCGUAUUUGACCAUUAUUCAGCUUUGUGAUACACUUUCAAAGAGUCGGAUUGUUUGGGAAUGCAGUCCAAAAUGGUGGUAAUUCAUCUAAAGCUAAAUAUUGGCGAGAGACCGAUAGCGAACAAGUACCGUGAGGGAAAGAUGAAAAGAACUUUGAAAAGAGAGUUAAACAGUACGUGAAAUUGUCAAAAGGGAAGCGUUUGACACCAGUGUUGUUUUCUCGAAAAUCAAUUAAAAAAGAUUGGAUUUUGUGUUGUAUUGACUUUAUCAGCUUUCUGCACUCUUUUCUUGUCUUUUUUAAUGCACUUUUCGUUAACAAGUCAACAUCAAUUUCUUUGUUGUAAAAGAGUCAUUGGAAGGUGGCUUUCUUUUCGGAGAAAGUGUUUAUAGCCUUGGCUUCUGCAUCGGAGAGAUUGAGGUCUGCAGCGUAGAUCCUUCGGGUUAGAUACAUUUGUGCUAAGUUAUAGCCUUUCAUAGACAACUUGUUGACUAUGAUCAGUCAUGUAGCUUACUCGCUUAUGCUAUU